UGAGUGAGUAUGUCAAUUGGUAGACUCUCCGUUUUGGGUAUGGAAUAAUGUAGGUUCGAAUCCUGCCUCACUCAU
rnacentral:tRNA from 1 species